AUUGAACGCUGGCGGCAGGCUUAACACAUGCAAGUCGAACGCGUGGCGGACGGGUGAGUAAUGCUUGGGAAUCUAGCUUAUGGAGGGGGAUAACUACGGGAAACUGUAGCUAAUACCGCGUACCAUAGGAUGAGCACAGGUGGGAUGAGGUAGUUGGUGAGGUAAAUGAUAACCAAGCCGACGAGCUCUAGCUGGUCAGCGGGGAGGACCAGCCACACUGGGAUUGAGACACGGCCCAGACUCCUACGGGAGGCAGCAGUGGGGAAUAUUGCGCAAUGGGGGCAACCCUGACGCAGCCAUGCCGCGUGUAUGAAGAAGGCCUUAGGGUUGUAAAGUACUUUCAGCGGGGAGGCGUUACCCGCAGAAGAAGCACCGGCUAACUCCGUGCCAGCAGCCGCGGUAAUUC
rnacentral:rRNA from 1 species